AUUGAACGCUGGCGGCAUGCUUUACACAUGCAAGUCGAACGGCAGCGCGGGCUUCGGCCUGGCGGCGAGUGGCGAACGGGUGAGUAAUACAUCGGAACGUGCCCAGUAGUGGGGGAUAGCUCGGCGAAAGCCGGAUUAAUACCGCAUACGACCUGAGGGUGAAAGCGGGGGAUCUUCGGACCUCGCGCUAUUGGAGCGGCCGAUGGCAGAUUAGCUAGUUGGUGGGGUAAAGGCCUACCAAGGCGACGAUCUGUAGCUGGUCUGAGAGGACGACCAGCCACACUGGGACUGAGACACGGCCCAGACUCCUACGGGAGGCAGCAGUGGGGAAUUUUGGACAAAGGGCGAAAGCCUGAUCCAGCAAUGCCGCGUGUGUGAUGAAGGCCUUCGGGUUGUAAAGCACUUUUGGCGGGAACGAAAAGGACUGUGCCAAUACCACGGUUCGAUGACGGCACCCGCAGAAUAAGCACCGGCUAACUACGUG
rnacentral:rRNA from 1 species